rnacentral:rRNA from 1 species
GACGAACGCUGGCGGCGUGCUUAACACAUGCAAGUCGAACGAUGAAGUUCCUUCGGGAAUGGAUUAGUGGCGAACGGGUGAGGAACACGUGAGAAACCUGCCUUUCAUUUUGGGAUAACUCCGGGAAACCGGGGCUAAAACCGAAUACUCCGUCUCGGCGGCAUCGCUGAGCCGGGAAAAAAUUUUGAUGAAAGAUGGUCUCGCGGCCUAUCAGCUAGUUGGUGAGGUAAUGGCUCACCAAGGCAACGACGGGUAGCCGGCCUGAGAGGGCGACCGGCCACACUGGGACUGAGACACGGCCCAGGCUCCUACGGGAGGCAGCAGUGGGGAAUAUUGGGCAAUGGGCGCAAGCCUGACCCAGCGACGCCGCGUGAGGGAUGAAGGCCUUCGGGUUGUAAACCCCUUUCAGUAGGGAAGAAGCGAAAGUGACGGUACCUAAAGAAGAAGCACCGGCUAACUAUGUGCCAGCCGCCGCGGUAA